AAUCCAUAGGUUAAUGAGGCGAACCGGGGGAACUGAAACAUCUAAGUACCCCGAGGAAAAGAAAUCAACCGAGAUUCCCCCAGUAGCGGCGAGCGAACGGGGAGGAGCCCAGAGCCUGAAUCAGCAUGUGUGUUAGUGGAAGCGUCUGGAAAGGCGCGCGAUACAGGGUGACAGCCCCGUACACAAAAGCGCAUGUGCUGUGAGCUCGAUGAGUAGGGCGGGACACGUGGUAUCCUGUCUGAAUAUGGGGGGACCAUCCUCCAAGGCUAAAUACUCCUGACUGACCGAUAGUGAACCAGUACCGUGAGGGAAAGGCGAAAAGAACCCCGGCGAGGGGAGUGAAAAAGAACCUGAAACCGUGUACGUACAAGCAGUGGGAGCCCCACCACUAAGCCAGUGGUGAACUCCACAUACGCAUCCUUUGCUGAGGAUACGGUUAACGGAGCGAAAGCGACGUUCAACCUCAAAAGAAGCAGAGGGGGCUUAGUGGUGGGGUGACUGCGUACCUUUUGUAUAAUGGGUCAGCGACUUAUAUUCUGUAGCAAGGUUAACCGAAUAGGGGAGCCGGAGGGAAACCGAGUCUUAAUUGGGCGUUAAGUUGCAGGGUAUAGACCCGAAACCCGGUGAUCUAGCCAUGGGCAGGUUGAAGGUUGGGUAACACUAACUGGAGGACCGAACCGACUAAUGUUGAAAAAUUAGCGGAUGACCUGUGGCUGGGGGUGAAAGGCCAAUCAAACCGGGAGAUAGCUGGUUCUCCCCGAAAGCUAUUUAGGUAGCGCCUCGUGAAUUCAUCUCCGGGGGUAGAGCACUGUUUCGGCUAGGGGGCCAUCCCGGCUUACCAACCCGAUGCAAACUGCGAAUACCGGAGAAUGUUAUCACGGGAGACACACGGCGGGUGCUAACGUCCGUCGUGAAGAGGGAAACAACCCAGACCGCCAGCUAAGGUCCCAAAGUCAUGGUUAAGUGGGAAACGAUGUGGGAAGGCCCAGACAGCCAGGAUGUUGGCUUAGAAGCAGCCAUCAUUUAAAGAAAGCGUAAUAGCUCACUGGUCGAGUCGGCCUGCGCGGAAGAUGUAACGGGGCUAAACCAUGCACCGAAGCUGCGGCAGCGACGCUUAUGCGUUGUUGGGUAGGGGAGCGUUCUGUAAGCCUGUGAAGGUGGCCUGUGAGGGUUGCUGGAGGUAUCAGAAGUGCGAAUGCUGACAUAAGUAACGAUAAAGCGGGUGAAAAGCCCGCUCGCCGGAAGACCAAGGGUUCCUGUCCAACGUUAAUCGGGGCAGGGUGAGUCGACCCCUAAGGCGAGGCCGAAAGGCGUAGUCGAUGGGAAACGGGUUAAUAUUCCCGUACUUGGUGUUACUGCGAAGGGGGGACGGAGAAGGCUAUGUUGGCCGGGCGACGGUUGUCCCGGUUUAAGCGUGUAGGUGUGUGUUCCAGGUAAAUCCGGUU
rnacentral:rRNA from 1 species